GGGCCUACGGGAGGCAGCAGUAGGGAAUUGUUCGCAAUGGGCGCAAGCCUGACGACGCAACGCCGCGUGGAGGAUGAAGACCUUCGGGUCGUAAACUCCUUUCGACCGAGAUGAAUACCUUUCGACCUAAUACGUCGAGAGGCUGACAGUAUCGAGGGAAGCAGCCCCGGCUAACUCCGUGCCAGCACCCGCGG
rnacentral:rRNA from 1 species